UCUCUCUGAAUCUGCGAACGGCUCCGCAAACCAGUUGUAAACUAUAGCGAGCAUACUCCUGGCCCUCGGGUCGGGGGUAACAAGGAUAACCCUGGUAAUUCUGAGGCUAAUACUCGACCGUACAAUCCGGCCGACCACCAAAGGCAGGCUGGAGGACGUGUUUUUAAUCGCAGAUGCGCCGGGAAAGGAAACACGUUCAGACCGUCAUACAAAACGGUAUCGGGCCGAACCGUCUCCCUCGGGGGGCGGGGAAGCUCGUGUCCGGGCGGCUCUCGCAAUGUGCUUCUGACCUAUCAACUAGAUGGCAGCGUAAGGGGCAUGCUAUGGUUACAACGGGUACAGAGGAUAAGGGUUCGAUCCUGGAGAGUGGGCCUGAGAGAUU
rnacentral:rRNA from 1 species